AGUGAACGCUGGCGGUAGGCCUAACACAUGCAAGUCGAACGGCAGCACAGGAGAGCUUGCUCUCUGGGUGGCGAGUGGCGGAUGGGUGAGGAAUACAUCGGAAUCUACUUUUUCGUGGGGGAUAACGUAGGGAAACUUACGCUAAUACCGCAUACGACCUACGGGUGAAAGCAGGGGAUCUUCGGACCUUGCGCGAUUGAAUGAGCCGAUGUCGGAUUAGCUAGUUGGCGGGGUAAAGGCCCACCAAGGCGACGAUCCGUAGCUGGUCUGAGGGGAUGAUCAGCCACACUGGAACUGAGACACGGUCCAGACUCCUACGGAAGGCAGCAGUGGGGAAUAUUGGGCGAUGGGCGCAAGCCUGAUCCGGCCAUACCGCGUGGGUGAAGAAGGCCUUCGGGUUGUAAAGCCCUUUUGUUGGGAAAGAAAUCCAGCUGGUUAAUACCCGGUUGGGAUGACGGUACCCAAAGAAUAAGCACCGGCUAACUUCGUGCCAGCAGCCGCCGUAA
rnacentral:rRNA from 1 species